rnacentral:rRNA from 1 species
UACGUAGGGUGCGAGCGUUGUCCGGAAUUAUUGGGCGUAAAGAGCUUGUAGGCGGUCUGUCGCGUCUGCUGUGAAAAUCCGGGGCUCAACCCCGGACUUGCAGUGGGUACGGGCAGACUAGAGUGUGGUAGGGGAGACUGGAAUUCCUGGUGUAGCGGUGAAAUGCGCAGAUAUCAGGAGGAACACCGGUGGCGAAGGCGGGUCUCUGGGCCAAUACUGACGCUGAGGAGCGAAAGCGUGGGGAGCGAACAGG